UCAGGUCGUGGCUGAUGAUAGGACCGUACAGUGUGAUCACUCAGGUCAUGGCUGACGAUCAGACCGUACAGUGUGAUCACUCAGGUCGUGGCUGAUAAUCAGACUGUACAGUGUGAUCGCUCAGGUUGUGGCUGACGAUCGGACCGUACAGUGUGAUCGCUCAGGUCGUGGCUGACGAUCGGACCAUACAGUGUGAU